rnacentral:rRNA from 1 species
AAGUCAGUUGUGAAAGCCUUCCGCUUAACGGAAGAACGGCAUCUGAUACUACAGGGCUUGAGUACGGGAGGGGAGAGUGGAACUUCUGGUGGAGCGGUGAAAUGCGUAGAUAUCAGAAGGAACGCCGGCGGCGAAAGCGACUCUCUGGUCCGAAACUGACGCUGAGUGUGCGAAAGCUAGGGGAGCAAACGGGAUUAGAUACCCCGGUAGACCUAGCCGUAAACGAU